UGGGGAAUAUUGGACAAUGGGCGAAAGCCUGAUCCAGCCAUGCCGCGUGUGUGAAGAAGGUCUUCGGAUUGUAAAGCACUUUAAGUUGGGAGGAAGGGCAGUUACCUAAUACGUGAUUGUUUUGACGUUACCGACAGAAUAAGCACCGGCUAACUCUGUGCCAGCAGCCGCGGUAAUACAGAGGGUGCAAGCGUUAAUCGGAAUUACUGGGCGUAAAGCGCGCGUAGGUGGUUUGUUAAGUUGGAUGUGAAAUCCCCGGGCUCAACCUGGGAACUGCAUUCAAAACUGACUGACUAGAGUAUGGUAGAGGGUGGUGGAAUUUCCUGUGUAGCGGUGAAAUGCGUAGAUAUAGGAAGGAACACCAGUGGCGAAGGCGACCACCUGGACUGAUACUGACACUGAGGUGCGAAAGCGUGGGGAGCAAACAGG
rnacentral:rRNA from 1 species